AUCUGGCUGACGAGUCCCAAAUAGGACGAAACACGCGUCAAUCUGGAU
rfam:Schistosoma mansoni strain Puerto Rico chromosome 1, complete genome